UACGUAGGGGGCUAGCGUUGUCCGGAAUCAUUGGGCGUAAAGAGCGUGUAGGCGGUCCGGUAAGUCCGCUGUGAAAGUCGGGGGCUCAACCCUCGAAUGCCGGUGGAUACUGUCGGGCUAGAGUGCGGAAGAGGCGAGUGGAAUUCCUGGGUGUAGCGGUGGAAUGCGCAGAUAUCAGGAGGAACACCAACGGCGAAGGCGGCU
rnacentral:rRNA from 1 species